GCCACGGGCGGCUGCAGUGGGGAAUAUUGGACAAUGGGCGAAAGCCUGAUCCAGCCAUGCCGCGUGUGUGAAGAAGGCCUUCGGGUUGUAAAGCACUUUCAGUGGGGAAGAAAGCCUUGGGGCUAAUACCCUCGAGGAAGGACAUCACCCACAGAAGAAGCACCGGCUAACUCCGUGCCAGCAGCCGCGGUAAUACGGAGGGUGCGAGCGUUAAUCGGAAUUACUGGGCGUAAAGCGCGCGUAGGCGGUCUGAUAAGCCGGUUGUGAAAGCCCCGGGCUCAACCUGGGAACGGCAUCCGGAACUGUCAGGCUAGAGUGCAGGAGAGGAAGGUAGAAUUCCCGGUGUAGCGGUGAAAUGCGUAGAGAUCGGGAGGAAUACCAGUGGCGAAGGCGGCCUUCUGGACUGACACUGACGCUGAGGUGCGAAAGCGUGGGUAGCAAACAGGAUUAGAUACCCGGGUAGUC
rnacentral:rRNA from 1 species